GCCUGAUGCAGCGACGCCGCGUGAGGGAUGACGGCCUUCGGUUGUAAACCUCUUUCAGCAGGGAAGAAGCGAAAGUGACGGUACCUGCAGAAGAAGCGCCGGCUAACUACGUGCCAGCAGCCGCGGUAAUACGUAGGGCGCAAGCGUUGUCCGGAAUUAUUGGGCGUAAAGAGCUCGUAGGCGGCUUGUCACGUCGGGUGUGAAAGCCCGGGGCUUAACCCCGGGUCUGCAUUCGAUACGGGCUAGCUAGAGUGUGGUAGGGGAGAUCGGAAUUCCUGGUGUAGCGGUGAAAUGCGCAGAUAUCAGGAGGAACACCGGUGGCGAAGGCGGAUCUCUGGGCCAUUACUGACGCUGAGGAGCGAAAGCGUGGGGAGCGAACAGGAUUAGAUACCCUGGUAGUCCACGCCGUAAACGGUGGGAACUAGGUGUUGGCGACAUUCCACGUCGUCGGUGCCGCAGCUAACGCAUUAAGUUCCCCGCCUGGGGAGUACGGCCGCAAGGCUA
rnacentral:rRNA from 1 species